UACGGAGGGGGCUAGCGUUGUUCGGAAUUACUGGGCGUAAAGCGCACGUAGGCGGCUCUGUAAGUUAGAGGUGAAAGCCCGGGGCUCAACUCCGGAAUUGCCUUUAAGACUGCAUCGCUAGAAUUGUGGAGAGGUAAGUGGAAUUCCAAGUGUAGAGGUGAAAUUCGUAGAUAUUCGGAAGAACACCAGUGGCGAAGGCGACUUACUGGACACAUAUUGACGCUGAGGUGCGAAAGCGUGGGGAGCAAACAGG
rnacentral:rRNA from 1 species